UCCCUUUUUUAAUAUGUAAAUCAAAGUCCUAUUUUAACUGCAAUCAGCAAUUCUCAUGUUUAUGUCCUUUACCAGUUUGUCCCACCACCGCAGAAAAAUGAACUGCUGAAGGGUCUGACACAGCGAUAUAAAAAAAGACAAAAAGUAACUUCAGUUCCAAAGGUCAGAACUACUCUACUUCCUCCCUGCCAAUUUGAUUUUUUUUCUUCCACCACAGGGAUGUCAGUGGGCACAGAAUUUCCUCAAUUCACCUCCACCACAGGAUUGCCAAACGGCCCAAAAUGGAGUUAACCCAUAUUCAAUGAGAGCAGUAACAGGUGCUCCAAUGGGCAAAUACUCAGGUUAUCCAUGUACAACUACCAAAGCUGGGUCUGGAAUAUCAGACGCUUCCCUGGUUCACAUGCUCAGACCUCUCUCACCGAUGCGCGUGCCAGAAGAUGAUGGUGGAUGGGACUCUGCUGGGGAUCACCCUAGGACUCCCUUCUACAUGGGUUGACUCUUCUGCUGGGCCUUUUAAGCCCUUUAAGGUACUACAUGACUUAAUCCAGCUCACCUUUUUGACACAACAAUCCAAAUUAAUCUAUUUCAGUAAAUGUAAUUCCAGUGGUUGAUAUAUAAGUCCACCUUUUCAACAGUAAAGUAUGUUUGUGGUAAGGGAUGUCAAACUUUUUUUCUUUCUCCCAUAAGCUAUUUUGCUGGGAAAAAAAGGACGCAGUGGAGCAUAGCAUUUUGUUUUUAAAUAAAUAAACUCAAGCAUACCCCGAUUGGUUUUAUAUUACAU